GCACCCGUAGCUCAGUGGAUAGAGCGUCUGCCUCCGGAGCAGAAGGCCACUGGUUCGAGUCCAGUCGGGUGCA
rnacentral:tRNA from 1 species